AGUGAACGCUGGCGGUAGGCCUAACACAUGCAAGUCGAACGGCAGCACAGUAAGAGCUUGCUCUUACGGGUGGCGAGUGGCGGACGGGUGAGGAAUACAUCGGAAUCUACAUUUUCGUGGGGGAUAACGUAGGGAGACUUACUCUCAUACCGCAUACGACCUACGGGUGAAAGCAGGGGAUCUUCUGACCUUGCGCGAUUGAAUGAGCCGAUGUCGGAUUAGUUAGUUGGCCGGGUAAAGACCCACCAAGGCGACGAUCCGUAGCUGGUCUGAGAGGAUGAUCAGCCACACUGGAACUGAGACACGGUCCAGACUCCUACGGGAGGCAGCAGUGGGGAAUAGUGGACAAUGGGCGCGAGCCUGAUCCAGCCGUACCGCGUGGGUGAAGAAGGCCUUCGGGUUGUAAAGCCCUUUUGUUGGGAAAGAAAAGCAGCAGCUUAAUACCCCGCUGUUCUGACGGUACCCAAAGAAUAAGCACCGGCUAACUUCGUG
rnacentral:rRNA from 1 species